rnacentral:rRNA from 1 species
UACGAAGGGGGCUAGCGUUGUUCGGAAUUACUGGGCGUAAAGCGCACGUAGGCGGAUCGAUCAGUCAGGGGUGAAAAUCCCAGGGCUCAACCCUGGAACUGCCUUUGAUACUGUCGAUCUGGAGUAUGGAAGAGGUGAGUGGAAUUCCGAGUGUAGAGGUGAAAAUUCGUAGAUAUUCGGAGGAACACCAGUGGCGAAGGCGGCUCACUGGUCCAUUACUGACGCUGAGGUGCGAAAAGCGUGGGGGGAGCAAACAGG